UACAGAGGGUGCGAGCGUUAAUCGGAAUUACUGGGCGUAAAGCGCGCGUAGGCGGCUUUGCAAGUCGGGUGUGAAAUCCCCAGGCUUAACCUGGGAACUGCAUUCGAGACUGCAUUGCUAGAGUAUGGGAGAGGGAAGUGGAAUUUCCGGUGUAGCGGUGAAAUGCGUAGAUAUCGGAAGGAACACCUGCGGUGUAGACGGCUUACUGGACCAUGACUGACGCUGAGACGCGAAAGCGUGGGGAGCGAACAGG
rnacentral:rRNA from 1 species